AUCAAUCAUAAUUGGUCAUUUAAAUCGAUAUUUUGUGAAAUGUCUGAUAGCCUUUUAGGCUAAUGGGUGGCAUUUGUCGAAGGCAACCAUUUUGUUUUGAGAGGGAGAAGAACGAUAGGAGGCAGAGGCUAGUUCGAGCUUUUAUUUGCUCCAAAAGUCGUGGACGUUUCCAGUCCAACACAAUCUACUACGUUCUUUCUGAAAUAUUUCAAAAUGUCGUUUUCUGGUAAUCAACUUUCAUCGACGUCCCUGACAUUUUCAGUUUUCUGCUGAGUUGUUGGUGUAGUUCUAUUCACUUCAAUGCAGCUGGAUUUGGUGGGCUAUAAAAAAGAUGCUCCGAGUGUCGUGAAGAAUUUAAGUACUCGCUGGUGACUUCUUAUCUGCAACAAUUGGCUUGUGCUGAAGAUACGUUUAAAACUGUUUCAGCUAGGGGAUCUGUUGAUGAUCUUGAGUUUUAAAGAAUAUGCUGAUAUGUCAUGGACACGGAUUCGAUUUAAUUUAUGGAAUCUAAAUUGGAAAUAUA